ensembl:lncRNA
GUGACAGCUCCUGAAUCUGCAUCUCAAUCGAUUUGUGAUACACGCUCCGAAGUCCCGAUCCGAAUCAAAAGAUUCCCGAAUCCGCUCCGAAUUCCCGAUCCGAAUCAAAAGAUUCACGAAUCCGCUUCGAAGUCCCGAUCCGAAUCAAAAGAUUCCCGAAUCCGCUCCGAAGUCCCGAUCCGAAUCAAAAGAUUCACGAAUCCGCUUCGAAGUCCCGAUCCGAAUCAAAAGAUUCCCGAAUCCGCUCCGAAGUCCCGAUCCGAAUCAAAAGAUUCACGAAUCCGCUUCGAAGUCCCGAUCCGAAUCAAAAGAUUCCCGAAUCCGCUCCGAAGUCCCGAUCCGAAUCAAAAGAUUCACGAAUCCGCUUCGAAGUCCCGAUCCGAAUCAAAAGAUUCCCGAAUCCGCUCCGAAGUCCCGAUCCGAAUCAAAAGAUUCACGAAUCCGCUUCGAAGUCCCGAUCCGAAUCAAAAGAUUCCCGAAUCCGCUCCGAAGUCCCGAUCCGAAUCAAAAGAUUCACGAAUCCGCUUCGAAGUCCCGAUCCGAAUCAAAAGAUUCCCGAAUCCGCUCCGAAGUCCCGAUCCGAAUCAAAAGAUUCACGAAUCCGCUUCGAAGUCCCGAUCCGAAUCAAAAGAUUCCCGAAUCCGCUCCGAAGUCCCGAUCCGAAUCAAAAGAUUCACGAAUCCGCUUCGAAGUCCCGAUCCGAAUCAAAAGAUUCCCGAAUCCGCUCCGAAGUCCCGAUCCGAAUCAAAAGAUUCACGAAUCCGCUUCGAAGUCCCGAUCCGAAUCAAAAGAUUCCCGAAUCCGCUCCGAAGUCCCGAUCCGAAUCAAAAGAUUCACGAAUCCGCUUCGAAGUCCCGAUCCGAAUCAAAAGAUUCCCGAAUCCGCUUCGAAGUCCCGAUCCGAAUCAAAAGAUUCCCGAAUCCACUCUGUUCUUUCUUUUGUCAAUUAACCACCUGCUGUGGGAUAGUAAAUGAGUGCAGAACAGCAAUAUACAAUACAUAUAGGUAUGUGAUUAAUUACACCUGA